rnacentral:rRNA from 1 species
CCCCUAGACGUUCUGGGCUGCACGCGCGCUACAAUAAUACGCACAGCGAGUAUCACCGAGCUCGAAAGGGCAAGGUAAACAAUAGAAAAGGUACUGUAAUGGUUAUAGAUCCUUGUAAUUAUUGAUCUUCAACGAGGAAUUCCUAGUAAGUAUGUGUCAUCAUCACGCACUGAUUACGUCCCUGCCCUUUGUACAUACCGCCCGUCGCUCCUACCGAUUGGGUGAGCCGAUGAAACUCUCGGAUGUAGGCUAUUCAUAGCCCGCAGAAGAGAUUUGAAUCGUAGCGCUUAGAGGAAGGAGAAGUCGUAACA